UACGGAGGAUCCAAGCGUUAUCCGGAAUCAUUGGGUUUAAAGGGUCCGUAGGCGGUCUAGUAAGUCAGUGGUGAAAGCCCAUCGCUCAACGGUGGAACGGCCAUUGAUACUGCUGGACUUGAAUUAUUGGGAAGCAACUAGAAUAUGUAGUGUAGCGGUGAAAUGCUUAGAGAUUACAUGGAAUACCAAUUGCGAAGGCAGGUUGCUACCAAUUGAUUGACGCUGAUGGACGGAAGCGUGGGUAGCGAACAGG
rnacentral:rRNA from 1 species